GUGCUUGCUUUGGAAGCACAUAUACUAAAAUUGGAAUGAUACAGAGAAGAUUAGCAUGUCUCUGCACAAGAAUGACAUGUAAGUUGGUGAAGUGUUCCAUAUUUUU
rnacentral:snRNA from 1 species